rnacentral:rRNA from 1 species
GAUGAACGCUGGCGGCGUGCCUAACACAUGCAAGUCGAGCGAAGCGCCUUACUUGAUUUCUUCGGGAUGAAAGUAUUGUGACUGAGCGGCGGACGGGUGAGUAACGCGUGAGCAAUCUGCCUUUCAGAGGGGGAUAACAGCCGGAAACGGCUGCUAAUACCGCAUAAUGCAUUGGAUUCGCAUGUUUCUGAUGCCAAAGAUUUUAUCGCUGAAAGAUGAGCUCGCGUCUGAUUAGCUAGUUGGCGGGGUAACGGCCCACCAAGGCGACGAUCAGUAGCCGGACUGAGAGGUUGAACGGCCACAUUGGGACUGAGACACGGCCCAG